rnacentral:lncRNA from 1 species
UGAUGCACGGCUGGCUCUGCUGUUCACUCCUCGGGGAAGAUGCGGUUUGGGAAGUGCUCAUCGAUUGAUGGCUUAGACUGGGGGACACCACAAAUCAGUGUGGUAGGUGAUCUGGGGAGGGUUGGGAAGGACAGCAGCAGAGAACUGCUCCUGGACGGCAGGUGAGCGUCUAGCUUCUGCGGAAAACGAUAGCCAGAAUGCUGCGGGAAGCUGCUGUGAGGAGCAGAGGAGGUCAGGGAACCUGGCAGAAUUCCCAGGCAGAAUAGCCCCAAAGCCAACCCUGAACUUCAGAGGGGCUCAGAGCCAGCUCCUGGGGGUGAGGAGGGCCACAGAAAUAAUUCGAUGCUCUUCUGUCCUCCCUGCAGACUAUGGAUGCCUUGGACACCAUGCUGGUGGCCUUCGUACGCAACUGUCCCAACACCAGUGUCAGCAUAGAGUUGGAGAAUAUGUUGAAGGCGCUGCUGGACUUUGCCCACUCCAAAAACCCAGCUGUGCGUGAGAGGGCUGUGAGGAGGGUUGAGAAGCUGGGUGAUUUCAUCAUCAGUUAUUUUGUGAGCGAGAACUCAGAUGACUAUGAAAAAUACAAGCACAGCUACGAUGAUUCCAGAGAGCUCUACAUCCCCACCCUGGGACAGCUGCUGGGCCACCUCUUCAUUUUCUGCAGUGGCAAUGAAUCCAUGAGAAACGCCGCUUUGGAUGCUCUUUUUCGCUUCUUCAAAAUCUUAAAGGAAACAAGAGGUAAGAAGGUGUGGUGGGCAGCGUCUGUCCGCACACAGACAUCUCCUGGUAUGUCUGCUUGUUCUCCUGAGUAUUGUGAAGGAUUGCUUUUGUGCUUGGUGGAGGCUGCGCACGGAAUUCUGCCAGGUUCCCUGGCC